GGUAUAUGUUGUUGCUCAAGCGAAGAAGACGCUGUAAAUGGUGCAAACGACUUACUUGAUAUAAAAGAUACCAUCUGAAUUCUUAACUGAACUCGGUAGAAAAAUCUACAUGAAAGCAUUUUGUAAGAGGAGAUUCCCUGAGGGUGGUUGACCUUGAGGACUCUUGGUCUGUUGUGUGAAAUGCAGGAGAAGAAUCGAGAACUCCUGAGUCUUUGCCAUAUGGGGCCUGAGUCAGCUACAAAGAGAUCCACAGGAUAUUCAAGACUCUGCAGGAUCUGGUCCGUUGUUUCCAUGACCUUAUCUGCUCCUGCUCUUCCCUUGUUUACUCUGCUCCAGCCCUCCUGGCGUCCUUGUUCUUUGAGUACACAAACACUGUCCUGCCUCGGGUCCUUUGCACAUGCUGACUUAAGACGUCUUAUUAAAGACACUUAUUUCCUGUUAAAGACCCUCAUCAUUUCUUUCCUCACCUCUUCAUUCAGCACUAUUCUCAAAUGUCACCUUGGCUUUGGUCAUGUCUUCUCUGAUGACACUAUUGAAAAUUAUAAUUCCUUCCACCUAGUACUACCUCUCCCUUCUUCCUGCUUCCUUUUUCUCCAUAACAUUUGUUACUUGUCUGUCUCCCUUCUCUAAACUGUAAGAUCUGCAAGAGCAGGAAGACAAGUCUGUGUUUACACAGCCCUAUCCCCAGCACCUGGAGCAACGUCUGGCAUGUAAAAAAGGGCUCAGUGUACUUCCCUGGAGGUCCAGUGGUUAAGAGUCCACCUGCCAAUGCAGGGGACACGGGUUCAAUCCCUGCUGGAUGAUUCCACAUGCUGCAGAGCAAGUAAACCUGCCAGCCAAAACUACUGAGCCCAUGCACCUAGUGCCUGUGGUCUACCACAAAAGAAGCCACCACAAUGAGAAGCCCGAGCACUAAAAUGAACGGGAGCUCCCAC
ensembl:lncRNA